GGAAGGAUCAUUAUUGAUUGUGAAUCGUUGCCUUCAGUGCUGGCCAGCUCUGGCAAGUGCACGCUGGUGACUUUCAUCCAGUCCCCUGUGAACCUUUGGCCUCUUGCUUGCUUCGGCGGGCAGAGGAUUUACACAAACUCGAAUGUAAUGAAACUAUGUUGUGCACAAGCACGAAUGUACAACUUUCAACAACGGAUCUCUUGGCUCUCGCAUCGAUGAAGAACGCAGCGAAAUGCGAUAAGUAAUGUGAAUUGCAGAAUUCAGUGAAUCAUCGAAUCUUUGAACGCACCUUGCACCCUUUGGUAUCCCCAAAGGGUAUGCUCGUUUGAGUGUCAUUGUACCCUCACACUUCUGGUCCUUGGACUGGGAGCGGUGGACUUGGGUGUUGCUGCUUUACCGU
rnacentral:misc_RNA from 1 species